rnacentral:tRNA from 1 species
GCCCUGCUGGUGUAGUGGUAGCACAAGAGUCUCCAAAUCUCUUGGUGGGAGUUCGAUUCUCUCGCGGGGUGCCA